UUAAAUUGCUUUUGCCCACGUGGUUUGCUCCCAAGGUUUUGAGGUGGUAGGGACUCUGAGUGAGGGCAGAAGGCACACAGGGAAAGAAAAAGGGAGCUUGGCCUCCUGCAGUCUGGAGGGACAGCCUGGGGCAUCUGGGGACAGAGAGCAAGCACCCUUUCAUCUGAUACUUAACGCUGGGAGGAAAAAAGCAAGGUUAAACUGUGACUUUAAGCAAAUCAUGUUUACUUAAGUAAUUCAUUGUGGGUAUUUUUUGAAAAUGGCUUAAAACUAUGUCUCUACUUAGUCAUGCAGAUAUUAGCAGGUAAGGAGAACUUUAUUUUUAAUAUUAAUUCAACAGACAUAUUGAGCAUCCACCAUCGGCCAGGCAGAUCAAAGAAUGGAUCUGGGAGGGAAGUAGUGAGUGGAUGAAGAGAAACACAAAAGGCACAACUUCUGGAAGGGCACACAGACACAAUCCAUUACUAAAAUGACUAGUCUUAUUGAAAGCUUUCUACUGAGCACAAAAGAUGCUGCAAACU
rnacentral:lncRNA from 10 species